GUUGUCUGCUCAUGGUUGGGUUGUUGUCUCUUUGACAUAUUGCCCAUUUUCACUCUCAAUUUUAUCAGUCAUAAUAACCUUCCAUCAUUACCGAACUGAACAAAGAAAUAACACGACGGGUGCCAUAUACGGUGCAGGGAAUGCUUACCCUUCCGAAGCACCUGAUUUCACUCCCGGUUGUUUAUUGGAGUUCGUGUUGUUUCUUAAUUAAUAUUUAUAACUGUUGGUGUAAAUGUUCUUUGGUUUUAAUUUGUGAGUCUUUGUUGACUCCUUGGUUUUGAUUGUUAUUGUCUUAUAAAUAACAUGAUACU
rnacentral:lncRNA from 1 species